AAGUCGGGUGUGAAAUCCCUCGGCCCAACCGAGGAACUGCGCCCGAAACUGCAUGUCUUGAGGACAGGAGGGGAGCGCGGAAUUCCUGGUGGAGCGGCGAAAUGCGUUGAUAUCAGGAGGAACACCGGCGGCGAAGGCGGCGCUCUGGCCUGUUUCUGACGCUGAGGUGCGAAAGCCAGGGGAGCAAACGGGAUUAGAUACCCCGGUAGUCCUGGCCGUAAACGAU
rnacentral:rRNA from 1 species